GCCACCCUAGCUCAAUUGGUAGAGCGCCCGACUUGUAAUCGGAAGGUUGUCGGUUCGAUUCCGAUGGGUGGCUCCA
rnacentral:tRNA from 1 species